rnacentral:snRNA from 1 species
AUACUUACCUGGACGGGGUCGAUGGGCGAUCAGGAAGGCCCAUGGCCUAGGUUAGCGACCUCCAUUGAACUACGGAGGGGCGCUCACCUAAGGUCAGUCCAUAGUGGCUGAGCCUACGUCAUAAUUUGUGGCAAUAGAAGUCCACGGAGGGCCCAUUUCUG